UGGGGAAUAUUGGACAAUGGGGGAAACCCUGAUCCAGCAAUGCCGCGUGAAUGAAGAAGGCCUUAGGGUUGUAAAGUUCUUUCACCUGUGAAGAUAAUGACGGUAGCAGGAGAAGAAGCCCCGGCUAACUCCGUGCCAGCAGCCGCGGUAAGACGGAGGGGGCUAGCGUUGUUCGGAUUGACUGGGCGUAAAGGGCGCGUAGGCGGUUGUUUAAGUUAGGCGUGAAAGCCCUGGGCUUAACCCAGGAGGUGCGCUUAAUACUGGAUAACUUGAGUAUGAGAGAGGAAAGUGGAAUUCCUAGUGUAGAGGUGAAAUUCGUAGAUAUUAGGAAGAACACCCGUGGCGAAGGCGGCUUUCUGGCUCAUAACUGACGCUGAGGCGCGAAAGCGUGGGGAGCAAACAGG
rnacentral:rRNA from 1 species